rnacentral:rRNA from 1 species
AACGAACGCUGGCGGCAUGCCUAACACAUGCAAGUCGAACGAGAACUUCGGGUCUUGUGGCGCACGGGUGCGUACCGAGUGGGAACCUGCCCUUAGGUUAGGUAUAACUCCCCGAGAGGGGUGCUAAUACCGCAUUAUGUCUUCGCGCAUAAGAUUUAUCGUCUUUGGAUGGGCGCGCGUUGGAUUCGCUAGUUGGUAGGGUAGAAGGCUCUCCAUGCGAUGAUCCAUAGCUGGUGUGAGCGGAUGACCAGCCAUACUGGGCCUGGGAGACGUCCCAGACUCCUACGGGAGGAAGCAGGUGGGAAUAUGGGACAAUGGGCGAAAGCCGGAGCCAGCAAGGCCGCGUGAGUGAGGAAGGCCUGAGGAUUGUAAAGCUCUGUGACCCGGGAUGAUAAUGACAGUACCGGGAGAAUAAGCGCCGGCUAACUCCGUG